GUCUGAAUAAUAUGAAGACUUCUAAUCCAACUCUGAUCCCAACACUGUGGAGGAUAAUGCAACUAUUAUAUUGUAAAGAGAAGGGAGUGCUACUGUAUGUCAGGCUCACAGAGCUGUCUUUGUUUUGUCUCCUCAGAGCUAAGCUAUUACUGCAAGGCAUCGGAGAACCGCGACCUCCCAGCCUACAUGCCAAGCUGGCAGUAUAGGCUUAACCUCUAAGGGCCCGAUUGCAGGCCUACUGAGAGUUGAGGGCGUCACUGAGGAAAAACCUGCUGAUGCAGCCUCAGAGAGAGCAGAGCAGAAUGAUGAGAAUGAGAAUAAUCAGCCUGAACAGACUCCAGAGGAGGUAACUGAGGCAAAUGGGACACAAGCAGAGGAGCCUCCAAUUAAAAGAAACCCAGGCCGUGUGCAGUUUGAGUCUGUCCCCGUUGACAUGAGCGUCUCUGCGGCUUCAACAGGAGACGCCUAUGACUUCAACACAGACUUUAACUGAGCUCUGCCUUCUUUGUGUGGAAGACAUGCAGACCUUGAUAUGUCGGCAUUCAAGGACAAGCUGACUGCAAGGCGGACUGUUGGGGUGCCUUUGACUACAAAAUGUCAGGCAAAGUUGAUUCGGAAUGAUUUUGAAGUUUACGUGGUUUUGCCCCUUCAAUUCUGAAUCUGGAAGAAACUGGGACCGUGUCCAGAUGAGGACUGACCUCCUUUCAGUUGUUUAGGACAAACGACUGCCCAGCAAAUAGACAUGAAAAUAUCCACAGACGUGUUCUCCCAGAUGUUGUCUUAAAUGUCCAGAGGUCAUUUGUAAUAAUAUUCAUGCUAAAUAUUGUAUAUAGACGAUGUACUAUAAAUGUAAUAAACCCUUUACAAAGCC